AGCCGNUGGCGCAGCGGUAGCGCGCUUCCCUGACACGGAAGAGGUCACUGGUUCGAUCCCAGUAUCGCCCACCA
rnacentral:tRNA from 1 species